GAAGGGUUAAAUAUCUCGGUCAAAUUUUAUCCUUCACACCAUAUGGGAAAGUCAUUGUCAUUGUACAGUUAUACGUAUAAAAAUCAUCAAAAUUUGUUACGCGCUACAGUAGGUGUAUUCAAAUGUAACCUCUGUCGUAAAGCCUGUAUUCAGAGUCAGCUCUUCGUUUUAAGCACGAUCUUAAGACAUCCUCCACCAUGUGUUAUUAUUACUAUAUGUACGGUCUUAAUACUGAAUACGGACCAUAGUACGUGUAUCUAGAGACUUUUUAGUCUAUGGCGAAAAACUGUACUAAAAUUUUGUACCACGCUAAAUUUACAUCGUGAACUAAUAUAUGUAUUAAUAAACAAAAUUUUUGUGUUUAUUAUAGUAUUAUACACGUUCUUUAUUAAUUUUAAUAUUUUGUCUCGUAAUAAUACAUUCCAAAAGAAACAAAGACCAAAGAAUGUACGGAGUAUAGAGUGGAACGUCGAAUAAGAAUAACAAGAUUAUAUUAGGUGCGGCGCUUCCUUUCUCCACGUGGCUUAGUUCAUGAUAUUGCGCGAGCAUUCGCAUAACCCACAAUGUCAAUGUCAAUGCCCACUCGUGAAAUGCAACCGCAUCACGAAUCAUGGAUUAUUUCUCUUGGAGAAUUCGUGAGGUAACUGAAGUGAGUGGUGGCGUGUUAUAAGAUUCGAAGAGGAAAGAAAGAAAAAAAAACAAAUGACAGCAAGGUAUCAUUCCCACUUGACAACGUAUCACCAACAAGGAUUCUGCGGAUUCUGAAUUAUCAUCAUCAUCCACGUUUUAUGGAUACUCUCAAUGACGGCGAUCUUCUCUUGACUUACUGAGAAGAGAUAACUGAUCCCACCUCAUAAGGUGUACUGAACCUGCCUAUUAUGCCGGCUUGAUGCAAGUGCAACCUUGCAAUUGAAAGUUGCAAGGUCGUCUUCGCCUCAUACUUCACUGUACGGCUCGGGACAACUUAACUCUUCUUGGAUUCUUGUGUUUCAAGCCGUCUCCGCCCCUCUCUCUCUCUCUCUCUCUCUCUCUUUCUCUCAUACGCUUUCGUUCAUUUUCUUGUUUUACGUCUCUCUCACUCAGAUUCUUAUCCCCGUACAUUUACCUUUAAAGGAUACAAUCAUAUUUUCUCUCGUCUCCGUUCAUCGGGUAAAGCCACAUUGUAAUUGAGAGAAUACUUGUAAAAUUGCAUAUGUAAAUUCCUUGCUCCUUUACUUCACUUGCAAUUUCUACCCUUGACCACUUUUCAUCGUACAAACUGACUAGGAGAGUUCAAGGUACGUUAGAUAAAAUUCUUAACUGACUUGGAUCAGUUGUAAAAAUGUUGAUGUGGAUUUAAAAAGAAAAAUUUCAUAAAAAUUGUCUGCUACUAAUACGGAUUUAGAGAUGUCACGUGCUUCUUAGAUCCCUAAUGGACCUGAUGGAUAUUUGAGGAUCAGGAUAAGAUACUUGUUAAUUGCAUUUGGACAUCUUUUUAGGCUUGCAAUUCACUUGCAAUUUUUACCCUUGACCGUCUUUACCGUACAAGUCGACUGAGAAGAUCGUCGAUCGACCUGCUUGAUAUUUGAAGAUGGAAACGAGGUUUGAGAAAAACAUUCGUUUACCGUAAAUAUCCUAUGAUCCAGACACAAUGAAGCUUUGGGAACUUUGAGAUCUGACUGUUUUCAAAUGAUCGAGUGCAAUUACGUAUUGUCAACGGAUGCGAGCUGAUAUGAAAAAAAGCGUGAGAAGUAAGAAAAAGAAAAGGCAAUAAUAUAGUACGAAAAAAGGAAAUAUCAUCUAGUGUGAGAAGUAGCCGUUGUCGACCGAUACGCCAUUGAUGAUUGUCAGACGUGAAAUUUGACUCGUAGAAAAAGUUGCGAUUCUCGAGGAAUCCGUUGGUGAGUUCGAGCACGAUCAAUGCGAAUCAACUGACGACAAUGGCCGUAGAGACUUAACGAGUAGCGAGCAUUUCCAUUGAAACUUAGAAAUACUUGAAUAUCUAAGAUAAAUUUUUUCAUCAGAAUCAUAAGGUAGAACCAAAUCAAUCUAUACAGAUACUAUAUACUUAUAUAUCAUAUAUAUAUAAAUAUAUCGACCUCAUGUAAUCAUAUGUCACCGUGAGGCUUAACGCUCAUAUCAGUCUUAACUACCAAUAUGUAUACACGUUGUGAAGAGUUCAAUGGCAAUGAAUUGCAUAAAACAUGAACCUCUAUCUAUAUACAGUUUCACUGAUUUCUCGUAUCAAAUACACUUACUCAAAAUACACCGUAUAGAUUUUACUAAAGGAACUUAAGACCGACCAAUGACUCGAAAUUCCUAGGAAAUAUUUAAAAAAUCCCAAAAAUAAGUUUUUUUUUCAAUCAACAUAAAUCAGUUGCACCUCUAUCGUUAUUGAAGUUAAUUAUUGAAUUGAAUAUCGUAGCCUGAAUUAAUUUAUAAAGAUACAAAAUUUCUUCAUU